rnacentral:rRNA from 1 species
AUGCCCAAAUCAGGAUAUGCAGGGAGGUCGGCCCUUGUACAGGGUGAAGAUCAGCACCAUGACGGUGAAAGACAACCUCCUGGCGGCUGGUGGUUUCCAUGGGGAGCUGAUCUGCAAUGCAUCCCACCGCCGAUCCAUAUCCAGAUCAGCUGCGUCGUCGGUUCCGCACACAGGCCAAGGGAAAUGACUACCGUUCCAGGGUCUCCGGUCUGGGAGCUCGUGAAGAAGAACAACUACUUCUUGAUCAAGCAGUUCGGCAACAGCAACACCAAGGUGCAGUUCAGCAAGGAGCCCAACAACCUCUACAAUAUCCAGUCCUACAAGUUCUCGGGCUUGGCGAACAGCAAGACUGUGGCGGUCCAGCCAUCAGCGGGAGAGGACAAGGCUGUUGUCCUGUCCAUGACCAAGACCAAGAAGCAGAACACCCCUGCCAAGCUCCAGCACAAGACUCUGAUGCGCAAGGAGUUCCGCAAGAUGGCCAAGUCUGUCAAGAACCAGGUAUUAACUCCAGAGUUUUGUACUUGA